AAGUUUGAUCCCUGGCUCAGAAUGAACGGCUAGCGGCAGGGCCUAAUACAUGCAAGCUGAACGGUAAAUAUGUAGCAAUACGAUAUGAGAGUAAGCGUAAGGGUGCGUAACACGUAUGCAAUCUGCCCUGUACAGGAGGAUAGCUCGGCGAAAGCCGGAUUAAUACUCCGUAAUAUUGUUGAGUGGCAUCACUUGAUAAUUAAAGUCGCAAGAUGGUACAGGAUGAGCAUGCGUCUGAUUAGCUAGUUGGUAGUGUAACGGACUACCAAGGCGAUGAUCAGUAGGGGAACUGAGAGGUUGAUCCCCCACACUGGCACUGAGAUACGGGCCAGACUCCUACGGGAGGCAGCAGUAGGGAAUAUUGGUCAAUGGAUGCAAGUCUGAACCAGCCAUGCCGCGUGCAGGAAGAAGGCCUUCUGGGUUGUAAACUGCUUUUGCCGGGGGAUAAAAUUCCCAUGCGUGGGACAUUGAAGGUACCCGGUGAAUAAGCCACGGCUAACUACGUGCCAGCAGCCGCGGUAAUACGUAGGUGGCAAGCGUUGUCCGGAUUUAUUGGGUUUAAAGGGUGCGUAGGCGGCCUAUUAAGUCAGUUCUGAAAUAUCCCGGCUUAACCGGGAGGGUGGGAUUGAUACUGAUGGGCUUGAGUGGAGUCGAGGUAGGCGGAAUUGACGGUGUAGCGGUGAAAUGCUUAGAUAUCGUCAAGAACACCGAUAGUGUAGACAGCUUACUAGACUUCAACUGACGCUGAGGCACGAAAGUGUGGGGAUCAAACAGGAUUAGAUACCCUGGUAGUCCACACUGUAAACGUUGAUUACUCGCUGUGUGCGAUAUACAGUACGCGGCUUAGCGAAAGCGAUAAGUAAUCCACCUGGGGAGUACGCCGGCAACGGUGAAACUCAAAUGAAUU
rnacentral:rRNA from 1 species